rnacentral:rRNA from 1 species
GACGAACGCUGGCGGCGUGCCUAAUACAUGCAAGUCGAACGCAGUGGGGACGGGUGAGUAACACGUGGGUAACCUCCCAUCAGAGGGGAUAACACUUGGAUACAGGUGCUAAACCGAUACGGGUGGAUGGACCAGCGGGGCAUUAGCUAGUUGGGGGGGUAACGGCUCACCAAGGCCACGAUGCAUAGCCGGCCUGAGAGGGUGAUCGGCCACACUGGGACUGAGACACGGCCCAGACUCCUACGGGAGGCAGCAGUAGGGAAUCUUGCGCAAUGGGCGAAAGUCUGACCGAGCAACGCCGCGUGAGUGAAGAAGGUUUUCGGAUCGUAAAACUCUGUUGUCAGGGAGGCGGUAUCUAACCAGAAAGCAACGGCUAACUACGUGCCAGCAGCCGCGGUAAUUC